UACGUAGGGGGCUAGCGUUGUCCGGAAUCAUUGGGCGUAAAGCGCGUGUAGGCGGUUCGGUAAGUCCGCUGUGAAAGUCGGGGGCUCAACCCUCGGAUGCCGGUGGAUACUGUCGGACUAGAGUACGGAAGAGGCGAGUGGAAUUCCUGGUGUAGCGGUGAAAUGCGCAGAUAUCAGGAGGAACACCGAUUGCGAAGGCAGGUCUCUGGGCAUUAACUGACGCUGAGGAGCGAAAGCAUGGGGAGCGAACAGG
rnacentral:rRNA from 1 species